rnacentral:rRNA from 1 species
AUACGGAGGGUGCAAGCGUUAAUCGGAAUUACUGGGCGUAAGGCGCACGUAGGCUGUAGUGUAAGUCAGGGGUGAAAUCCCACGGCUCAACCGUGGAACUGCCUUUGAUACUGCACAACUUGAAUCCGGGAGAGGGUGGCGGAAUUCCAGGUGUAGGAGUGAAAUCCGUAGAUAUCAGGAGGAACAUCGGUGGCGUAAGCGCCUUACUGGGCCGUAAUUGACGCUGAGGAACGAAAGCCAGGGUAGC